AGAUUGAACGCUGGCGGCAUGCCUUACACAUGCAAGUCGAACGGCAGCACGGGGGCAACCCUGGUGGCGAGUGGCGAACGGGUGAGUAAUGCAUCGGAACGUGCCCAGUAGUGGGGGGAUAACUAGUCGAAAGAUUAGCUAAUACCGCAUACGACCUAUGGGUGAAAGCGGGGGAUUCGCAAGAACCUCGCGCUAUCGGAGCGGCCGAUGUCUGAUUAGCUAGUUGGCGGGUAAAAGCCCACCAAGGCUUCGAUCAGUAGCUGGUCUGAGAGGACGACCAGCCACACUGGGACUGAGACACGGCCCAGACUCCUACGGGAGGCAGCAGUGGGGAAUUUUGGACAAUGGGCGCAAGCCUGAUCCAGCCAUGCCGUGUGCGGGAAGAAGGCCUUCGGUUGUAAACCACUUUUUGGCAGGUAACGAAACGGCGACGACGCAAAUAUACUCGACGUUAAUCGUAACGGUACCUGCAGAAUAAGCACCGCUAACUACGU
rnacentral:rRNA from 1 species